UUUGCUUUGUUGAAGAUCAGUUGGCUCUAAGUAUUUGGCUUUCUUUCUGAGUUCUUUAUUCUGUUCCAUUGGUCUAUGUGUCUAUUUUUAUACCAGUCCCAUGCUGUUUUGGUGACUAUGGCCUUAUAGUUUAGCUUGAAGUCAUGUAAUGUGAUGCCUCCACAUUUUUUUCUUUUUGCUUAGUCUUGCAAAAAGCAAGACUCUGUGGCCUCUUUUUUGGUUCCAUAUGAAUUUUAGGAUCUUUUUUCUACCUCUGUGAAGAAUGAUGAUGGUAUUACUCAUGGAGGGUGUCCAGAUUCUUGGCGUCUUGAACAAAGAAUUGGACAAAAUGCAAAAACAAAGCAAGGAAAGCAAAAGCAGAGAUUUAUUGAAAAUGAAAGUACAUUCCACAGGGUGGGAGUGGGCCUAAGCAGAGGGGCUCAAGAGACCUGGUUACAGAAUUUUCUGGGGUUUCAAUACUCUCUAGAGUUUUCCCACUGGUUACUUUGUGCAUGCUCUGUGUAAAUGAAGAGAAUGAAGUGAAGUUACAAAGUCAUUUACUCAGAAUGCACCCUAUGUAAAUGGAGAGGAUGUUACUUGGUGUGUAUGAUCUAUGUAAAUGGAGACGAUGAAUGUGAAGUUACAAAGUGUAAAUGGUGUAAGUGGAGAGGAUGGAGUGAAGUUACAAAACCAUUCACAUUCCUGUCAUUGCUGAAGUGCUUCCAUUUGAUUUAAUUCUAGGAAGUCAGCCUGGAUCGGCCUUAUGUUCCCUGCCUCCAGGCACUAUUCUCCAGCCUCAGUGGUAUUUUGAUGGGAAUUGCAUUGAAUUUGUAGGUUGCUUUUGGCAAUAUGGUCAUUUACACAAUAUUGAUUCUACCCAUCUAUGAGUAUGGGAUGCGUUUCCAUUUGUUUUGUGUCAUCCAUGAUUUCUUUCAGCAGUGUUUUGUAGUUUUCCUUGUAGAGGUCUUUCACCUCCUUGGUUAGAUAUAUUCCUACGUAUUUUAUUGUUUUUGCAGCUUUUGUGAAAGGGGUUGAGUUCUUGAUUUGAUUCUCAGUUUGAUCACUGUUGGUGUAUAGCAGAACUACUGACUUGUGCACAUUAAUUUUGUAUCCUGAAACUUCGCUGAAUUUACUUACCAGUUCUAGGAGCUUUUUGGAUGAGUCUUUAUGGUUUUCUAGAUAUACAAUUAUAUCAUCAGCAAACAGUGACAGUUUGACUUCAUCUUUAUUGAUUUGGAUGCCCUUUAUUUCUUUCUCUUGUCUGAUUGCUCUAGCCAGGACUUCCAGUACUAUGUUGAAUAGAAGUGAUGAAAGUGGGCAUCCUUGUCUUGUUCCAGUUCUCAGGGGAAAUGCUUUCGACUUUGCCCCAUUCGGUAUAAUGUUGGCUGUGGUUUGUCAUAGAUGGCUUUUAUUACCUUAAGCCCUUCUAUGCCAAUUUUGUAUGUAUGUCCCUUCUAUGCCAAUAGAAGUAUGUCCCUUCUAUGCCAAUUUUGCUGAGGGUUUUAAUCAUAAAGGAUGCUAGAUUUUGUCAAAUGCUUUUUCUGCAUCUAUUGAGAUGAUUAUGUGAUUAAAAAAAUUCUGUUUCUGUGGUGAUUCAUAUUUAUUGACUUAUAUAUGUUGAACCAUCCCUGCAUCCCUGGGAUAAAACCAAAUAGAUUACAGUGGAUUAUCUUUUUGCUAUGCUGUUAGAUUCAGUCCGCUAGUAUUUUGUUGAGAAUUUUAGCAUCUAUGUUCAUCAAGGAUAUUGAUCUGUAGUUUUUGUUGUUGUUGUUGUUGUUGUUAUGUCCUUUUGUGGUCUUGGUAUCAGGGUGAUACUGGCUUCAUAGAAUGAUUUAGGGCAGAUUCCCUUUUUCUCUAUCGAAAAGGAUUGGUACUAAUUCUUCUUUGAAUAUCUGACAGAAUUCAGCUGUGAAUCCAUCUGAUCCUGGACUUUUUUUGUUGGCAAUUUUAAAAUUACCAUUUCAAUCUCACUGCUUGUUAUUUGUCAGACCUCUGAGCCCAAGCUAAGCCAUCAUAUCCCCUGUGACCUGCAUGUGUACAUCCAGAUGGCCUGAAGUAACUGAAGAAUGACAAAAGAAGUGAAAAUGGCCUGUUCCUGCCUUAACUGAUGACAUUACCAUGUGAAAUUCCUUCUCCUGGCUCAUCCUGGCUCAAAAGCUCGCCUGCUGAGCACCUUGUGACCCACCCCCCACUCCUGCCCGCCAGAGAACAACCCCCCUUUGACUGUAAUUUUCCUUUACCUACCCAAAUCUUAUAAAACGGCCCCAACCCAUCUCCCUUCGCUGACUUUCUUUUCGGACUCAGCCCGCCUGCACCCAGGUGAAAUAAACAGCCUUGUUGCUCACACAAAGCCUGUUUGGUGGUCUCCUCACAUAGAUGAGUGUGAAAUUUGGUGCUGUGACUCAGAUCAGGGGACCUCCCUUGGGAGAUCAAUCCCCUGUCCUUCUGCUCUUUGCUCCAUGAGAAAGAUCCACCUACGACCUCAGGUCCUCAGACUGACCAGCCCAAGGAACAUCACACCAAUUUUAAAUAAGGACCCCACUGGAAACUGGACCAUCCAACUCUCCCGGCAGCCACUUCCAGAGCCCCUGGAACUCUGGCCCAAGGCUCUCUGACUGACUCCUUCCCAGAUCUUCUUGGCUUAGCACCUGAAGACUGAUGCUGCUCAAUCACCUUGGAAGCCUACAGGACCAUCACAGACACUUUCGGUAACUCUUACAGUGGAGGAACCCAGACAUACAUCCAUGGCAGGGCCAGACGAACUCAAGUGGCACUUGCCACACUGAACUCAGAAUCACUACAUGAAGCUUAUCGUGCCUGGCUCCUUUUUUGACAAAGUUAAGCUCUCCCAGGAGGCUCCUCAGGUUUUUGCAAGAAGGCUUGGGUUUAUUUGCUCCAUCAGGUUGGCAAAAAUGUUUGGAUCACACUUCCACUCAAGCAACAUGUCUGGAUUCUCAGAGUCUCCUGAUGCAAACAGGUAGGUAUAUCCAGAUGUACGAGAUGAGACUUAUGGAGGCUCACUUGCCCAGAGUUUCUCAGCUGGUCACUUGCUCAGCAGAAGUUGAAUUCUUGAUCCAGGUCUCUGAAGCAUGUGCGAGCUAAAGUUUGAGUUAUGAAUUCAAAUGUUGUCAGGGCUCAGGUGAGGAAAAGAGUAAAACUGGCUAGGUGGAGACUGAAGAUUUGGAAGCAAUUUUUGGCAUGGAAGAACUUGAGACCAGCAUUACCAGAUCUUCCCAUUUUUCAAGAGAAACUGAAAAUAUCUUCUCUUUAAUGUGAAAUCUCUGUAUUUAAAAUGCUAUAUAUUAAUUUUUUUAAAUAAACAGGAUUUGGGUUAGGCACA
rnacentral:lncRNA from 10 species